rnacentral:lncRNA from 1 species
GGCAUUCUACGUCUGUUUCUAGUCUAGCUGAAAGAUUGGUUGGCUGGAUGACUAAUGUAGGAUUCACUUUAAGAGAUUUGGAAACUCUUCCCUUUGGAAUUGCUCUUCCCAUCAGAGAUGCAAUUUAUCACUGUCGUGAGCAGCCUGCCUCAGACUGGCCAGAAGCUGUCUGUCUCUUGAUUGGACGUCAGGAUCUUUCCAAGCAGGCCUGCGAAGGAAACUUACCCAAAGGGAAGUCUGUACAGAAACUGAGGAGAAAGAUGAUGGCAUGAAUGACAUGAAUCACGAGGUCAUGUCAUUAAUAUGGAGUGAAGAUUUAAGGGUGCAGGAUGUGCGAAGGCUUCUUCAGAGUGCGCAUCCUGUCCGUGUCAACGUAGUGCAGUACCCAGAGCUCAGUGACCACGAGUUCAUCGA